CAGGCUGAAGACCUUACCCCGAUUAGCUGAGAGGUGGUGCAUGGCCGUCGUCAGUUCGUACUGUGAAGCAUCCUGUUAAGUCAGGCAACGAGCGAGACCCACGUCCACAGUUGCCAGCAUACCCUCCGGGGUGAUGGGUACACUGUGGAGACCGCCGCUGCUAAAGCGGAGGAAGGAGUGGGCAACGGUAGGUCAGUAUGCCCCGAAUCUCCCGGGCUACACGCGGGCUACAAUGGUUGGUACAAUGGGCAUCUACCCCGAAAGGGGAAGGAAAUCUCUUAAAGCCAAUCGUAGUUCGGAUUGAGGGCUGCAACUCGCCCUCAUGAAGCUGGAAUCCGUAGUAAUCGCGUUUCAACAGAACGCGGUGAAUACGUCCCUGCUCCUU
rnacentral:rRNA from 1 species